GGGAGCGGAGGUGCACCUCGAGGGAGGCGCAGUGCGCCCACCGGCGCUUCCACAGGUCGCGCCACCCGCGAGCGAGCGCCCCCGUGCGGAUGGCGUUCUUCAGGGAGAGGUGCGUCAGGAUGUGCAUCCGCAGCUCGUCGGGGAGCGCGGAGAUGCGGUCCACCGGGAUCGCAUCCGAACCCACCGCCUCGCACCGGUCAUCCAGCCCAUCCACCCUUUGCCUCUUCGAUCCGCCGCCGCCACCGUCAUCGCCGCCGGCCGAGUUCAUGGCCAUUUCCCGCUCGUCCCCAAUUUGGGGAAUACCCUACUCUCCCUCUCCCCGAGUCCACCGCCCAGAAACCAAAGCGCCGCUGGGCGCGUUGCGUGCGAAUCUGCGACUGCGAGCCUGCGAGGUUAAAGAAAAGGAGUUGGGCCAUACUGGGCCGAAACGUGGACGCUCUGCCACAGUUUUCUGCUCUUGGCCCAUGCGUAAGCCUUGUGAUUGUACUGGCAAACUUUUAUUUAUUUAUUUUAUUUAUUCUCAGUUUAAGAAAACUACUUUUGUUUCCCAUAAUAAGAGGGGAAAAAAUGCUUCCAAUAACAAGGCAGCCUGCAGCCUUGCUUAGUCAGUAGCCCAUGGGAAAAAGGUUUUGCAAAAAAACAAGAAGGAGCUCUACACUACACCCAGAUGGACAAAACUUUAAAAUCAAACUUUGGCAGUGCUGGACCUUGCUAAUGAAUUGGGAGGGGCCCACCCAAUAAGACUAAGAGAGUAGUAGUGUACACAAAGCAUCAAAUAGUGAAAUUAACUACAGCUGCACAUGUGCUUAAUCAAGUUUUGUAGGUUAGCUGGGACCAUGGCCCAACCUUGGCCAUAAAUAAAACUCCUGCUGCACAUGUGCAUGGCAUCUGAAUAUCUGAUGACUGAUAUCCAUUUGGAGGACGAUAACACAAGAUAAAGCCCACAAUUUCAAUUAUAUUGAAAAGAACAAGGCAGAUAGAGAACCAUAUGCUCAACUAAGGCUUUGUUUAGUUCGCAAAAAUUUUCAAGAUUCUCCAUCACAUCGAAUCUUUGGUCACAUGCAUGAAGCAUUAAAUAUAAAUGAAAAUAAAAACUAAUUGCACAGUUUACCUGUAAUUUGUGAGAUGGAUCUUUUGAGCCUAAUUAUUUUUUGUUUGUAUAAUAUUUGUCAAAUAAAAACGAAAGUGCUACAGUAGCCAAAAACGAAAAUUUUAACGAACUAAACAAGACCUAAAGCGAACUAAACAAGUCCUAAAGCACCGUACACCUCCAGCCACCAGGAGUAGCAACAGCAUGUUAGAUAGGAUUCACCACAGAGUUCACAUCCCCAGCUGAUGUAGUCAUGUACCAUUGGCUUUGCCGACGCAUCAGGUCAUCAGCCAUGCACAAUGCCCACACAACAAAGAAGGCAGCCACUCCCGGUAGUGCAAGACAAGAUAAGCAAGAUGAUGUCAGGAAAGAUGAUACAUUUAAAUCAGAAAGCAAAAGCACGAACCAACAGGAACCGAGGGGCACAAAACCUUGAAAAAAUGAAAUAACUAUUGAAACCGAGAUGUUCUCACUCAAAAGAUAAAGAGAAAGGAAACGGUGAUCUUUGGUUUCUCUGCCCUCUUUCAUAUAGUUACAAGAUGAUAAUAUUUAUUAAAUUCAACACUAACAGUGGCAGCAUUGCACUUCGCCACUUUGUAAUCAAUAGGGAAAAUGCCAAAAAGACUACAAGUCAUGUAAAUAAGAACAAACCCCCCUGCUUUGAUACAAUCUGAUACCUCAAGGUAGCAAAUGAAGAAGGAAGAAGACUGACAACAAUAACAUCAUCAAUAAUUCUGAUCCACAACUUCUUUCAUCUUUGUUUGACUUGUUAAUAUGGCAAAGCUGCCCCCCCCCCCCCCCCCCCCCCCCAACACACACACCAUUACUCAAUUAGCAACCAUAAACCAUGAAAAAUCAUUGACAACAAAAUUCUGUAACCAAGUUUGCUUCUCUUUCGCAGACCCCACCGCAUGGCAAUCACAACAGAUGAUUAAAUAUUCAAAUCCAUCACUAUCAGAAUUGCACUCUGUUUAUCAAUCAGGCUACUUCUUGAAAGUUAUCAUAUAAAAAAAAUGUUGGCAACAAGACUACAGGCCAUGAAAGUAAGCACAGACCUCUUCACUUUGAUUCAAUCUGAUACCUCAAGGUAAAUAUCAACCGAUAAGAUAUAACAUAUCAUUAUGGGAGUUGCUAUAUUUCAGGUGCAUGAAUUUGCAGGCAACAAUUUUAUACAAUCAACAAGUAUAAUUAAAAGGACAACUCACAAGAGACAAGUCAUAAUUUUUUUUCUUCUAUUAGCCAAAUAAACAAUGAAAAAAUUACAUGCUGCCCGAACAACAACGAAAACUCAGGCACCUAGAAUAUAGGAGAAGUGUGAUCCACAGCUUAACUCAUAUUCGUUUGAGUUGUGAAAGAUAAUAUGAAGCUCCAGAAUUUUUUUUUAAAGAGGAUCAACUCUGCUUUUAAGAAAGCACAACGUAACAGGUUCGCUGGGGUUACCAGCCACAUUACAAUUCACGGCUAUAUCAGCCCAAAACCAGGAAGGUAAAGACAACAUCUAGAGCACAACAAAAACAAAAACUGUUAAAUCUCGAAGACAUCAGUAGCAGUGGAAAUCUUGGGUUUAAAGUCCUUCAGCCAGCGUCUAAUUGCCUCCAGCACCUGCCACACGCGCUCCUUGUCUUUCUCCUUCAAAAGGAUACUCCAUCUCUGCAAGAAUGAUAUCGCCACAUAUAUCACAUCAGUUGGCAUUUUAACAAAAGUUUUCUCAAUUGCCAUCUUGUUCCGCGUAAUCCAUAACGCCCAGGCAAAACCCGCGAAGAAAAACAUCAUCAACCGCUUAGGUAGAGGCCCCGUGCCAUGUAACCAGGUCAUAGACAUAUCUUCUAUGGAUCUAGGUAAAAAAUCUAGUUCAAAGAUAUCCUGUAAAACCCCCCAAACUAACCGAGCCAAGUGACAACUAAAUAACAUAUGAUUGAUACAUCAUCAUCAUAAGGAUAAUAUUAACAUGUUAAAUACAUCAUGCAAGUGGUACCAGGACAGCAAAGCAAGAGCAUAUUGGAACACCAUGCAUUAUUAAUACUUCACUAAGAGUAAUAUUCAAGAAAGAAAUUAAGGAGACAACAUUGGUUUCUUGAUAUCUUACAAUUUUCUCAGUAAGAACUGGAACCAAAAUGUUAAUGUCCUGAUAGGCUAGUAUUACUAUCUUUAGGGCUCUGAUUCGACUGGUGACUGCACUAUAGAUUGAUAUAGGCCUUAUGAUAUGGCUGAGUUGCUGCAUUAUCAGACUCAGUAAACAUUAUCGUGCCAUUGACCAAAGCUUCUUUGAGAAGCGAAAGGUCCGCUUCUGAUGCACCGGGCGAAUCCACUGGAGUGACAUUGCGAGAAACUAUUAACAGUUUCUGCAGAGAGCUAGCCUUCCUCAAUAGAAAACUCACUAGCUGCACCUCGGUGGGGCACCAGUUGAAGUUCAUGACCUUUAUCAUGACAAGGUUGUCUAAGCCAUCUUCCGGUGGCUCUUCCCGCACCUGAUCAAUAGAACCUUCUGUGGGCUUUAAUCUAUAUGCCGGGAGCUACAAAGAUGAACCAUAGUAAAAAACACAGGAUGACUGUGAAGCAAAGAAAUUACAAAGGCAUUGAUUGUGUUAACCUGCACAAAGAGCCUCUCCAGAUUAGGACACUGGAAGGUCUUGAGGAACAGAUAGAGGUUAGCUAGGUUGACAGCUUUUGUCUGUAACAUGAGUAGGUGUAGCUCUUUCAAUCCAUGUAAGUUGAAAUUGGGCAAUUGGGCACUGACCCCAUCAACUGACAAGACAGAUGCACCCUAAAAUAAAAGGCAUGGUUAGCUUAGGAAACCAUGAAUUUUUUUCCUUUCAUAUUUAUGGAAAUCAAGCAACUAAAAGCUACUCCUAAGUGACAAGAAGACCUGAAAUAAUAAACAAGAUUGAAUUCGGAGAAAGUACCGUGAGAGCUUUGUAACUGAUAGUGAGAACGUUGAGUCUGGAUAAAUCCUUCGGGAGAGAUUUCCUCAACUUAUCGAUAUGCCACUCUUUCAUCAUUACUGAGUCAUAUAACUGAAUAUAAAGAUCAGAAAGCACAGCAUCGCGUGGAAUGGAUAAAGGCAAGUUGGAGAAGCAGCCACUGUAGCGGAAGGAGCGCAGGCUAGGAACACGCACGAAGUCCAGACUGGUAAUCCUAUCACAGCCCGCGAUGGUAAGACUCCUCAGGUUCGGCGGCAGCCUGUCGAACACCCAACCACUACAGCUGCAGCAGCGCAGAUCGAGAACGAGGAGGCUGGGGCACAGCGCCAUCAUUUCUCUGAAAGCCUCCCUGCGGAAGGACACCGAUGCGAGCCGGAUGACCUCGAGAGCGUGGAAUGGCCGGGCGCCCUUGUGGUACAUUUUGGAGACGCAGAUGUGGCGGAGCGAGAGGCACGCGAGGGCCGGGCUCGACAGCGGCAAGUGGAAGUUGAGUCUGCUCGCAAUCGUGCCCUGGAGCAUCUCCACGUGGAGGUCCUCGACGCCGCACUCGGCAGCGUAAUCGAGAAAACGCCGGAGUUCCGAGGACUUGAGGUUGGAGAUGUCGACGACCAGGGAGAAGCGCUCGAGGCGGCGGCGCGGGCGCGGCUCGCGCUCCAGCACGUCCAGCUCUCUCCCCAGGUCGUCGUGGGAGCGGAGGUGCACCUCGAGGGAGGCGCGGUGCGCCCACCGGCCCCUCCAUAGGUCGCGCCACCCGCGAGCGAGCGCCCCCGUGCGGAUGGCGUCCUUGAGGGGGAGGUGCGUCAGGACGUGCAGUCGCAGCUCGUCCGGCAGCGCCGAGAUGCGGUCUACCGGGAACGCAUCCGAAGCCACCGCCUCGCAUCGGUCAUCCACCCUUUGCCUCUUCACUCCGCCGCCGCCGCCGCUGUCGGAACCGAUGGCCAUUCUCGGAACCGCCGCCGCCGCCACUCGCUUCGUUCCUCAACCCAAACUCCGGAACCAGAAAGGCAGAAACCGAUUGUCUUUUUUCUUUUUUGAGAAAAAAAAAAUCAGAAACCGAUGUGCUGCCGGAGUUUUGGGCUCUUGGCCCAUGCGUAAGCCAACGUCCUUUUUAGGCCACUCACAAUGCACACUCUAUCAUAGAGUCUAAAGUUAUUUAUUAUCUCGAACAAUGUGGAUUUGAAGUCUAAAUAAGACUUGGAGUCUUAUUUUUUCUACCUCUUUCUUCAAUAAAUAUGCUGCCACAUCAGCAAAAUACCAUAAAUAAUAUGUAAUUAAGUGUCUUCAACUCUGUGAUAGAGUCUUGUAUUGUGAGUGCCCUUACUAGGCACUGUUUAGUUAAAGGAAAAGUAACUCAGCUUCGUGAACCUAUACAACCACUAAUUAAUACCACAGGAUCUAGAUCUAAUGUUUGAGAUUUUUUUUUCACUUAAACCCUCCCAUCUGGAUACACACGGGUUAGAUUUAAAUCCAUAGGUGAAGGGGUUUAAGUGAAAAAAAAACCUCAGACGUUGGAUCUAGAUCAUGUGGCCUUAAUUGGUGAUUGCAUAGGUUGCACACGAAGCUGGGUUGCAUAUGAUACGUUGUCUAGUUACUUUUUUUUUUGCAAAAUGACUACUAUAUCACUUUAAUUUGUAUUUGAUGAUUAUUGUCUAAUUAUGGACUAAUUAAGCUUAAAAGAUUCAUCUCGCAAAUUACGGGUAGUGUACAAUUAGUUAUUUUUUAUCUAUAUUUAAUGCUCCAUGCAUAUGCCAUAAGAUUCGAUGUGAUGAGAAAUCUUGAGAAGAUUUGCAAAAUUUUUGGGAACUAAACAGCCUAGGAAAUAAAAUUUGGUUACUCUAAAAAAGGAAAUAAAAUUGUCAUAUUUUUGUUCAAAUAAAUGUUACUAGGAAAUAAAAUAAGCUGACAGAAAACAUAAGUCAUUUAAAUGAUUUUUAGUACUUUAUCCCAAAUUAUGAAUUGUCCAGAAAGAUAACUAGAAAGUACUCCCUUUGUUCCAAAUUAUAAGUUGCCUUAAUUUUUUUUGGUUCAUCCAUUUUUAUAUGUAUCUAGACAUAUUAUCAUAUCUAGAUGUAUAUCAAAAAUAGAUGUACCAAUAAAGUCAAAACGACUUAUAAUUUAGAAUGAAGGAAGUAAGAAAUAGUAACACAUAUACCCAUGCCAUUUAAUAUACAGUUGCACCGAAAAACUAACUCUAGAGAGAAAACUACAUACUCUCUCCAUAACUAUAAAAAAGUUAUUUUGGAUAAGGUUUGGGUUAAAUAUUGGAAAUAUAAAUCACGAAUAACUUUUAGGUUGUUGAGUUUGGAAAUGUGAAAACUAUAUAAAUUUGUCUUGAAAAAUACUUUCAUAAAAGUAUGCAUAUACCACUUUUUGAUAUUUUUUUUUAAAAAAACAAUGAGUCAAAGUUAGGCUUUGGAGACCAUUUCGCUGUCUUAAACAACUUUUUUUUAUAGGUGUGGAGGGAGUAUGGGAUGAAUGAUGUUUUGUGACAUGUGGACACUUUAUUUUCUGUGAUGUAAACUCAUGACUUAUUUGCUAUGAGAUGAACUCAUUUAAUUAUGGAUUCAUGAGAUAACUCAUUUAGGUUCAAUUUAUGGAUUUGUGAGAUAACACAUUUAGGUUUAAUUUAUGGAUUUGUGAGAUGAACUCAUUUGGGCUUAAUUUAUGGGUUUGUGAGAUAAAUCAUUUAGGUUCAAUUUAUGGAUUCGUGAGAUAACCAAUUUAUGGAUUUGUGAGAUGAACACAAGGACUUAAUUUAUGGGUUUGUGAGAUGAACUCAAUUACUCUCAAAUUAUGAUUUUGUAAUAUUUAUAACUCUAUCACAUAUGUUUUUUUUGUUUAAAUUAUGGUCAAAUACGACCCAUGUACUGAUGUACAAUGGUGGCGGCCAUCCAACCACACGCAGUGACGCAGCCGGCCGCCCCGCCAGCCAGGCAGCCACCCAAGCAACCAGGCAUGCAGGUGCUCAGCAGUCAGUACGGUCAAAUUUGCGUAAGGAUAAUUUUGUCUUUCCGGGAAAAAAAGGUAAAAGAGUUAAAGUGGCAGGGAAACAAGAAAAUCAUAUUUUGCAAAGCCCAUAAUUUCAGCCAGCAAAAAUCCAAUUUUCUCAAAAAUAGAUGGGCCAUUCAGAGCCAAAGCUGAAUGCGGACUGAAUUUUGAAUUUUUGGCCCAUGCAGCUUUUACUUUCUAAUUAAGAAAGCGUACUUCUUUUAUUUCAAGUAUAAUAAUAAAAGAGAAAAAUCUUCCAAUAAUCAAGAAGCCUGGAGCCUUGCUAUUCAGUACACAGUAGCUGGUCUGAAAAAGAAUUUUUCAAAACAAGAUGGAGUUCCACACCCAGAUGGACAAAACUUCGGAAUCAUACUUGAAACGAUCAUGCAAAAUAUAAGGCCUUGUUUAGUUCACCCAAAAAACCAAAAACUUUUGAAGAUUCCUCGUCAUAUUGAAUCUUGUGGCGCAUACAUGAAGCAUUAAAUAUAGUCAAAAAUAAAAACGAAUUACAUAGUUUGCUUGUAAAUCGAGAGAUGAAUCUUUUGAGUCUAGUUAGUUCAUAUUUAGACAAUAUUUACCCCAAACAAAGAAAAGUGCUACAGUGGCCGAAAACUUUUCAUUUCGGCAACUAAACAAGGCCUAAAACUCAUUCAUGAAGAGAGUCCGCAGCAACAGUUUUGUAUUAAGAGGCUGCAUAAAAUUAAUCAGAUGAUGAAAAGUAAUGUUAUGAAUUCCUCAAUGAUUUUCAGAGGAAUAUUACAACGAUGAAUUUAAUUGGCUAAGUAACACCAACUGGAAAUGAUGGUGUCAAUGAUAGUAUGCAUAAACUUGUGAAGUUUGAUUCAAGAAAUUCACCACUCGGCCAUGCAGAAACAAAAGUUCUAACAGAUAAUAGUGAAAUAUUAUCGUAUCAACUUAUGCAAAAAAAAAAAGUUGUUCACUUAACAAUAUCAAAACUCAAAAGUGAUCUUCAGGACUGACCAGUUUUCAUUUUAUUUUUCAACGAUGUAUGGAGCACUGAAUCUUAGUCCUCCACGGGUGACUAAAUUGUCUGUCCCUGAGUUAUCUUAAGCGUUGGAGUAUCAAUCAAACAUAAUAGAUAUUCUAAUAUAAUCGACUAAUUGAGCCUAGCUGCAUCUGUAUUCUGUUUACUACUACUAUAUAUCUGAAAUUUUCUUAUAAUUAUAUAUGUGCAUUGUUCUUACCUAAGUGCACCUUUGCUGAAUGGAACAUUACAGAUCCACAUAAAAAAAAUGAUAUCAGCAUUCAUUUAACAUAUUGAUAAAGUUUUAUUAAAUACGUACAAUAGCCAAUAGGCCAUUGAACUUUGCAUGCAGUGCCAGCUCCACUUGAGCAGAAAAUGACUGUAACUUAAACUGAUGCUCAUGUAGACAAGCAAAGCACGCACAAGCUCGAGAUCUGGUUCUUUUAUGGUACCUACUCUAUGUACUAGUUGAAGCAUUAGGACAUCAGCCAUGCCCAACUCCCGAACAUAUAGGUCUGUUCCCAGUAGCAGCAACACAAUGAAGAUGACUUCAUCAUGAGUAGAAACUAGAAACAUUAGAUCAAGCAACCACCAUAUUGGCAGCGAAAACAUGAGAACAACAAAAAAACAAGAGUAUGAGAUUAAAAAAAACAAGAGCAUGACACAGCUCUAGAUGCACAAGAUUACCCCUAUGAUAUCAUCCCAUGGUAUCACUGCCCUUUAUGGGUAGGCAACUAGAAAGCAAGCAAAGUACCAAACUCAUAAGAGCCAGGGGGUGCUUUAAAAAUCGACAUAUGUUGUACCACAUGAAUGUAGAACAAAUGCAGGACUAAAUAUAAAGACCUGAGAUAGGAAAGUUCCUUUCCUGACUGAAACCCUGAGCUCUAUGCACUAAAAAACAAACAACAGCAUCAGAUUCUCUGUCCACUUUCAUGAUCACAAAGCACAAAGCUCGAUUAUAACUUAUAAAGUAUGAUCGGAGCAAUAAUUAUAAUGUUCAGAACUGUUAUGAUAAUUAUUGAAAACGUUGACAAGAAAACAAGAAGACAAAAAGGUAAAUAGUGCAGACUAGCUACCCCCUGAACCCCAAACACACCAAAAAAAUAAUGCUACUUAAAGCAGACAAGAAGCUCCAAAGAGUGGUUUUAUUAUCCAAUCUCCUAUGCGCUAAACCAUAUUUCAAGUACAUAUCCCUUUUUCCCUUCGGUCCAUAGCAAAAGGAGAUAGAGAACCAUUACUCAAUUAGCAACCAUGAAAAAAUGUUAACAGAAUUUUGAAAGCAAGUUUGCUUCUCUAGUUCGCAUUCCAUGGCAAUUGCAACAGAUAAUCAAAUCCAUCACUAUCAGCAUUGCACUCUCUGUUAUCAAUCAGGCUACUUCCUGAAAGUUACCAUAUCAACGAAUAUGUUGGCAACAAGACUACAAGUCAUGUAAGUAAGCACAGACCUCUUCACUUUGAUUCAAUCUGAUACCUCAAGGUAAAUAUCAACGAGGCAGAUAAAUGGCAAUAUAUAGCAUUAACAUUAUUUCUAGUCCACAUUUGAGUUGUGGUAGAUAAUAUGAAGCGGCAGAGCUCUGAUUCAUCAUCAUAAGGACAAUAUGUCAAAUACAUCAUCCAAGUGGUGCCAGGAUAGCAAAGCAUGAGCACACUGGAACAUCAUGCAUUUUAAAUAUUUUGCUAGUAGUAAUAUUCAAGAAACAAAUUAAGGAGACAACAUUGGUUCUUCAUAUCUUAUCGUUUUAUCAAUAAGAACUACAACCAAAGGAUAAUGCCUAGAUAAGCUGAUAUUACUAUCCAUAGGGCUCUGACUCGACUGGUAACUAAACUAUACCUUGAUAAAGGCAUCAUGAUAUGGUUGAGUCGCUGCAUUGUCGGACUUGGUAAACAUUAUCUUUCCAUUGACCAAAGCUUCUUUGAGAGGUGAAAGGUCUGCUUCUGGUGUAUCAGGCAGAUCCACUGGGGUGACAUUGUGAGAAACUAUUAACAGUUUGUGCAGAGACUUAGCUUUCCUCAACAGAAAACUCACUAGCUGCACCUCGGCAGGGUUCCAGUUGAAGUUCAUGACCUUUACCAUGACAAGGUUGUCCAAGCCAACUUCCGGUGGUUCUUCCCACACCUGAUCAAUAGAACCUUCCAUGGGCGCAUAUCUAUAGUUCGGGAACUACAAUGAAAAACCAUAGUAAAAAAGACAGGACGACUAUGAAACAUAGAAAUUACAAAGGCAUUGAUUGCAUUAACCUGCACAAAGAGCCUCUCCAGAUUAGGACACUGGAAGGUCUUGAGGAACAGAUACAGGUUGGAUAGGUUGACAGCUUUCAUUUCUAACAUGCGUAGGUGUAGCUCUUUCAAACUGUGUAAGUUGAAAUUGGUCAACUGGGCACUGGCUCCAUCGGCUGGCAAGACAGAUGCACCCUAAAAUAAAAGGCAUGGUUAGGCACUGGCUCCAUCGGCUGUCAAGACAUAAGAUUUUUUUUUGUUUCAUAUUUACGGAAAUCAAGCAACUAAAAAUUACUCCUAAGUGACAAGAAGACCAGAGAUAAUAAACAAGAUUGAAUACCAAGAAAGUACCGUGAGGGCUUUGUAACAGAUGGUGAGAACACCGAGGCUGGAUAAAUCCUCCGGGAGAGAUUUCCUCAACUUAUCGAUAUUCCACUCUUUCAUCGGUACUGGAUCAUAUGAGUAUAGCUGAAUAUAAAGAUCAGAAAGCACGGCAUCGCGUGGAAUGGAGAAGGGCAAGUUGGAGGGGCAGCCAUAGUAGCGGAAGGAACGCAGGGUAGGCACACGCACGAAGUCCAGACUGGUGAUCCUAUCACAGCGCGCGAUGGUAAGACUCCUCAGGUUCGGCGGCAGCCUGUUGAACACCCAACCGUAACCGUUGCAGCGGCAGAGCCGCAGAUCGAGAGUGAGGAGGUUGGGGCACAGCGCCAUCAUUUUUGUGAAAGCCUCCGAGCGAAAGGAGACCGAUACGAGCCGGAUGACCUCCAGAGCUUGGAAGGGCUGCUGGGCGCCCUUGUAGAACAUGGAGACGGGGAUGUCGCGGAGCGAGAGGCGCGCGAGCGCCGGGCUCGACAGUGGCAGGUGGAAUUUUAGCUUGGCCGCGGCCGUGGUGCUGCGCGACUGCGUCUCCACGUGGAGGUCCUCGACGCCGCACUCGGUAGCGUAGUCGAGAAAGCGCUGGAACUCCGAGGACUUGAGGUACGAGGUGUCGACGAUCAGGGAGAAGCGCUCGAGGCGGCGGCGCGGGCGCGGCUCGCGCGCCAGGGCGUCCAGCUCUCUCCGCGGGUCGUCGCGGGAGCAGAGGUGCACCUUGAGGGAGGCGCGGUGCGCCCACCGGCGCUUCCACAGGUCGCGCCACCCGCGAGCGAGCGCCCCCGUGCGGAUGGCGUCCUUGAGGGGGAGGUCCGUCAGGACGUGCAGCCGCAGCUCUUCAGGGAGCGCCGAGAUGCGGUCUGCCCGGAUCGCAUCCGAUUCCACCGCCUCACAUCGGUCAUCCAGCUCAACCAGCCUUUGCUUCUUCGCUCCGCUGCCGCUGCCGCUGCAGCCGCC
rnacentral:lncRNA from 1 species